GACGAACGCUGGCGGCGUGCUUAACACAUGCAAGUCGAACGGAAAGGCCCUGCUUUUGUGGGGUGCUCGAGUGGCGAACGGGUGAGUAACACGUGAGUAACCUGCCCUUGACUUUGGGAUAACUUCAGGAAACUGGGGCUAAUACCGGAUAGGAGCUCCUGCUGCAUGGUGGGGGUUGGAAAGUUUCGGCGGUUGGGGAUGGACUCGCGGCUUAUCAGCUUGUUGGUGGGGUAGUGGCUUACCAAGGCUUUGACGGGUAGCCGGCCUGAGAGGGUGACCGGCCACAUGGGGACGAGGAUACGGCCCGGACUCCUACGGGAGGCAGCGGUGGGGAUUAUUGCACAAUGGGCGGAAGCCGGAGGCAGCAACGCCGCGUGCGGGAGGACGGCCUUCGGGUGGGAAACCGCUUUCGCCUGUGACGAGGCGUGAGGAAGGGGAAUGGGGAAGAAGGCACGGCCAAAUUACUG
rnacentral:rRNA from 1 species